rnacentral:tRNA from 2 species
GGCACUGCAAACUAACGGUUUAUGGUCUGACUUUUAAUCAGUAGGUCUCGGGUUCGAACCCCGACGCUCUCACCA